UACGGGGGGGGCAAGCGUUGUUCGGAAUUACUGGGCGUAAAGGGCUUGUAGGUGGCCAACUAAGUCAGGGGUGAAAUCCUGGAGCUCAACUCCAGAACUGCCUUUGAUACUGAGGAUCUUGAGUACGGGAGAGGUGAGUGGAACCGCGAGUGUAGAGGUGAAAUUCGUAGAUAUUCGCAAGAACACCAGUGGCGAAGGCGGCUCACUGGCCCGUUACUGACGCUGAGGCACGAAAGCGUGGGGAGCAAACAGG
rnacentral:rRNA from 1 species